UACGUAGGGGCAAGCGUUGUCCGGAUUUAUUGGGCGUAAAGAGCGUGUAGGCGGCCUGACAGGUCUGCUGUGAAAACUCGAGGCUUAACCUCGAGAUGUCGGCGGAAACCAUCUGGCUAGAGUCCGGAAGAGGAGAGUGGAAUUCCUGGUGUAGCGGUGAAAUGCGUAGAUAUCAGGAGGAACACCGGUGGUGUAGACGGCUC
rnacentral:rRNA from 1 species